rnacentral:sRNA from 1 species
UCCUAUUUAAGUGUCCGAGACGUUGGU